rnacentral:rRNA from 1 species
UACGGGGGGAGCAAGCGUUGUUCGGAUUUACUGGGCGUAAAGCGCGCGUAGGCGGGUCUGUAAGUUGAUUGUGAAAUCCCUGGGCUUAACCUGGGACGUGCAGUCAAAACUGCAGAUCUUGAAUGUCUGAGAGGAUGGCGGAAUUCCCGGUGUAGUAGUGAAAUACGCAGAUAUCGGGAAGAACACCUGAGGCGAAGGCGGCUAUCUGGCGGAACAUUGACGCUAAGGCGCGAAAGCGUGGGGAGCAAACAGG